rnacentral:rRNA from 1 species
AGCCAGACUCCUACGGGAGGCAGCAGUGGGGAAUAUUGCACAAUGGGGGAAACCCUGAUGCAGCGACGCCGCGUGAGUGAAGAAGUAUUUCGGUAUGUAAAGCUCUAUCAGCAGGGAAGAAAAUGACGGUACCUGACUAAGAAGCCCCGGCUAACUACGUGCCAGCAGCCGCGGUAAUACGUAGGGGGCAAGCGUUAUCCGGAUUUACUGGGUGUAAAGGGAGCGUAGACGGCAUGGCAAGUCAGAUGUGAAAGCCCGGGGCUCAACCCCGGGACUGCAUUUGAAACUGUCAGGCUGGAGUGCAGGAGAGGUAAGUGGAAUUCCUAGUGUAGCGGUGAAAUGCGUAGAUAUUAGGAGGAACACCAGUGGCGAAGGCGGCUUACUGGACUGUAACUGACGUUGAGGCUCGAAAGCGUGGGGAGCAAACAGGAUUAGAUACCCCCGUAAA